UACGUAGGGUGCAAGCGUUGUCCGGAAUUAUUGGGCGUAAAGAGCUCGUAGGCGGUUCGUCGCGUCGGCUGUGAAAUCCCGAGGCUCAACCUCGGGUCUGCAGUCGAUACGGGCGGACUGGAGUUCGGCAGGGGAGACUGGAAUUCCUGGUGUAGCGGUGAAAUGCGCAGAUAUCAGGAGGAACACCGGUGGCGAAGGCGGGUCUCUGGACCGAUACUGACGCUGAGGAGCGAAAGCGUGGGGAGCGAACAGG
rnacentral:rRNA from 1 species